rnacentral:rRNA from 1 species
GGUUAAGCGACUAAGCGUACACGGUGGAUGCCCUGGCAGUCAGAGGCGAUGAAGGGCGUGCUAAUCUGCGAUAAGCGCCGGUAAGGUGAUAUGAACCGUUAUAACCGGCGAUACCCGAAUGGGGAAACCCAGUGUGACUCGUCACACUAUCAUUAACUGAAUCCAUAGGUUAAUGAGGCGAACCGGGGGAACUGAAACAUCUAAGUACCCCGAGGAAAAGAAAUCAACCGAGAUUCCCCCAGUAGCGGCGAGCGAACGGGGAGGAGCCCAGAGCCUGAAUCAGCAUGUGUGUUAGUGGAAGCGUCUGGAAAGGCGCGCGAUACAGGGUGACAGCCCCGUACACAAAAGCGCAUGUGCUGUGAGCUCGAUGAGUAGGGCGGGACACGUGGUAUCCUGUCUGAAUAUGGGGGGACCAUCCUCCAAGGCUAAAUACUCCUGACUGACCGAUAGUGAACCAGUACCGUGAGGGAAAGGCGAAAAGAACCCCGGCGAGGGGAGUGAAAAAGAACCUGAAACCGUGUACGUACAAGCAGUGGGAGCACCCUUCGGGGUGUGACUGCGUACCUUUUGUAUAAUGGGUCAGCGACUUAUAUUCUGUAGCAAGGUUAACCGAAUAGGGGAGCCGGAGGGAAACCGAGUCUUAAUUGGGCGUUAAGUUGCAGGGUAUAGACCCGAAACCCGGUGAUCUAGCCAUGGGCAGGUUGAAGGUUGGGUAACACUAACUGGAGGACCGAACCGACUAAUGUUGAAAAAUUAGCGGAUGACCUGUGGCUGGGGGUGAAAGGCCAAUCAAACCGGGAGAUAGCUGGUUCUCCCCGAAAGCUAUUUAGGUAGCGCCUCGUGAAUUCAUCUCCGGGGGUAGAGCACUGUUUCGGCUAGGGGGCCAUCCCGGCUUACCAACCCGAUGCAAACUGCGAAUACCGGAGAAUGUUAUCACGGGAGACACACGGCGGGUGCUAACGUCCGUCGUGAAGAGGGAAACAACCCAGACCGCCAGCUAAGGUCCCAAAGUCAUGGUUAAGUGGGAAACGAUGUGGGAAGGCCCAGACAGCCAGGAUGUUGGCUUAGAAGCAGCCAUCAUUUAAAGAAAGCGUAAUAGCUCACUGGUCGAGUCGGCCUGCGCGGAAGAUGUAACGGGGCUAAACCAUGCACCGAAGCUGCGGCAGCGAACGUAUCACUUAAAGCGAUUCAGCGGGUUACGAUUGACGGAGCGAAGCGACGUCAAAGCGUAUACAAAGUCGAGUCGGUUUAAGGAUACGUUCGUUGGGUAGGGGAGCGUUCUGUAAGCCUGUGAAGGUGGCCUGUGAGGGUUGCUGGAGGUAUCAGAAGUGCGAAUGCUGACAUAAGUAACGAUAAAGCGGGUGAAAAGCCCGCUCGCCGGAAGACCAAGGGUUCCUGUCCAACGUUAAUCGGGGCAGGGUGAGUCGACCCCUAAGGCGAGGCCGAAAGGCGUAGUCGAUGGGAAACGGGUUAAUAUUCCCGUACUUGGUGUUACUGCGAAGGGGGGACGGAGAAGGCUAUGUUGGCCGGGCGACGGUUGUCCCGGUUUAAGCGUGUAGGUGUGUGUUCCAGGUAAAUCCGGUUCACUUUAACACUGAGGCGUGACGACGAGGCACUACGGUGCUGAAGCAACAAAUGCCCUGCUUCCAGGAAAAGCCUCUAAGCAUCAGGUAACAUCAAAUCGUACCCCAAACCGACACAGGUGGUCAGGUAGAGAAUACCAAGGCGCUUGAGAGAACUCGGGUGAAGGAACUAGGCAAAAUGGUGCCGUAACUUCGGGAGAAGGCACGCUGACACGUAGGUGAAGUGAUUUACUCAUGGAGCUGAAGUCAGUCGAAGAUACCAGCUGGCUGCAACUGUUUAUUAAAAACACAGCACUGUGCAAACACGAAAGUGGACGUAUACGGUGUGACGCCUGCCCGGUGCCGGAAGGUUAAUUGAUGGGGUCAGCGCAAGCGAAGCUCCUGAUCGAAGCCCCGGUAAACGGCGGCCGUAACUAUAACGGUCCUAAGGUAGCGAAAUUCCUUGUCGGGUAAGUUCCGACCUGCACGAAUGGCGUAAUGAUGGCCAGGCUGUCUCCACCCGAGACUCAGUGAAAUUGAACUCGCUGUGAAGAUGCAGUGUACCCGCGGCAAGACGGAAAGACCCCGUGAACCUUUACUAUAGCUUGACACUGAACAUUGAGCCUUGAUGUGUAGGAUAGGUGGGAGGCUUUGAAGCGUGGACGCCAGUCUGCGUGGAGCCGACCUUGAAAUACCACCCUUUAAUGUUUGAUGUUCUAACGUGGACCCGUUACCCGGGUUGCGGACAGUGUCUGGUGGGUAGUUUGACUGGGGCGGUCUCCUCCUAAAGAGUAACGGAGGAGCACGAAGGUUGGCUAAUCCUGGUCGGACAUCAGGAGGUUAGUGCAAUGGCAUAAGCCAGCUUGACUGCGAGCGUGACGGCGCGAGCAGGUGCGAAAGCAGGUCAUAGUGAUCCGGUGGUUCUGAAUGGAAGGGCCAUCGCUCAACGGAUAAAAGGUACUCCGGGGAUAACAGGCUGAUACCGCCCAAGAGUUCAUAUCGACGGCGGUGUUUGGCACCUCGAUGUCGGCUCAUCACAUCCUGGGGCUGAAGUAGGUCCCAAGGGUAUGGCUGUUCGCCAUUUAAAGUGGUACGCGAGCUGGGUUUAGAACGUCGUGAGACAGUUCGGUCCCUAUCUGCCGUGGGCGCUGGAGAACUGAGGGGGGCUGCUCCUAGUACGAGAGGACCGGAGUGGACGCAUCACUGGUGUUCGGGUUGUCAUGCCAAUGGCACUGCCCGGUAGCUAAAUGCGGAAGAGAUAAGUGCUGAAAGCAUCUAAGCACGAAACUUGCCCCGAGAUGAGUUCUCCCUGAGACUUUAGGUCUCCUGAAGGAACGUUGAAGACGACGACGUUGAUAGGCCGGGUGUGUAAGCGCAGCGAUGCGUUGAGCUAACCGGUACUAAUGAACCGUGAGGCUUAACCUU